UGGUGAACAAAUAACUGAGGUGCAUAAUCCUCUUAGAGCAGCUGAGCCCUUGCUUCUAUAGUGGAGCAACAGAAAAGAAUUAGGAAAUUCAUCCACAUACAUCUGAUAUCCUUUUUGUAGACUAUUUAUAUAAGUUUUUCCUCUCUCAAAUACAUAGUCCUGUGGAUGUACAUCCUGACAUUGCUGCCAUGAUAGGUUUUGGUGGGUUAAAACAUAGGCAAGGUUCAUUUAUAUAAUUGGAGCUUGCACUUUUACACUCAGUUAUAUAUAUAUCCUUCACUUUAGUUACA